rnacentral:lncRNA from 1 species
UUGACCGGUGGUUUUUAAUUGGGAGCUACUCGCACUGAUUCGUCUUUGCCGAGUUAAUGGCAUAUCCCUUCCACCGAUCUCACUUACCUGGCCGACAUGUUCAAUCACAUUUUGAUUGGAUCACUUAAUGAUUCGAGUUAGCCCAUGCCUAUAAGGAAAAUCAGUUUGACUGAUUUAGGUGCCUCCUUAACCGGUUUGAGUCUAAUCUGAUUUGGUGAAGUCAGUGGAAGAAAUUAGACUAACCGGAUCUUCUUAUCUAUCC